rnacentral:lncRNA from 1 species
AGGCCGAGUGGGGGCGCUCGGCGACUCUCUGUGUCUUCCUCAGGCCUCGCGGCUGGAAAUCGGCGAUUACCUCAUUAUAAGGAAAAUGAAUCACUCCUCAAAGGCAAAAGGUCUCAAUGUUCCAAAAUCAGAUAAGCAACACUCAAAAAAAAGCCACACAGCACAUUUGCCACAGGUUUCAAAGGCAGAGGAGAUACCAGCGCAAGAAGACAUUUCAGCUCGAAAAAUACAGAGAGCAUGGUUCAUGCAUUUGGACAAAGUGAUAUUUCAACUCCUAAAACACACAAUUUGUGCAGCGGAGUAUUGCGUGACUCAUGAAAUACUGAAGAAUGUGAGCCCCUCAGAAGCUAAACUCACUAAAGAUCCUAGCAUGAAGUGUAAAGUCAGAUUCAGAUUUAGUGGUGAAACAUUUCCACCUUUCAUCGUGUUUAAAAUUUUUCUUCAUACUGAGGGCCAUGGUUACAAGUAUUUCAGCGGGAAAAAUUUAUUCAAACCAUCAAGCAAGGCAGUAAUUGAUGCUUGCAAAAUGAUGGGAAGACAGAAAUUUUACGAGCAAAUUAUGGAAGAUGAACGUCUUUUUCAGAAGUUCAAAGUAACUGACCACGUAGAUAUUGUCACCACACAAGAUUACAUGCAAUAUUCCAGCCUUCUGGAUGAGAUCCCUGCAUCGUCUGGUGGCAAGAAUAACCUUUGGCGAAGAUUAAACCUCAAAAGCAUUCCCAGGACAAUGAUGAUAUAUGACAUAGUUAAUUAUGCAGAGUCUGGAGUAAUGUCAGGCCGUUUACAAAAAGAAAUGAAGUAUCUGUUACAGAGACCGCAAACGGAAGAGAUGCAUCAGCACCAGCUACAGAUUGUUUCUGAAGUUAGGAGUCCAUCCUUGGCGAGUCUCCAUCCUUUAUAUCGGCCCUACCAACAACAAAGUAAAGUGAGACAUUUGGGGCGUCGAUCUAAGCAAGCACAAAUGAAAGUUGAAAAAAUGAGAGAAGCUUAUAUGACACCUAAGAAAAAAGAUGCUUCAGAACAACCGCAAACAGCCGCGCCACCUAAAAGGGUACAAGAGACGACUGUGUUCUCCAGCCCAUCUUUCAACAUUGUGAAAUAUAAAGAAUUCACCUCAAGUAGUGACUUAAAAGAAGAAGAAGAAGAAGAAGAGAAAGAAGUAUUUGCCUGGUAUCAACAGUUGUAUCAUCAGUAUUUUCCAUGAUGUCAAUACAGAGCUAACUGACAGGACACCAAAGUUGCAUGUCUGUCUAAAAAUAAAGGAGAAUCAAAUAGAAGCA